UUCCUACGGGUGGCUGCAGUGGGGAAUAUUGGACAAUGGGCGCAAGCCUGAUCCAGCCAUACCGCGUGGGUGAAGAAGGCCUUCGGGUUGUAAAGCCCUUUUGUUGGGAAAGAAAUCUUGCCGGUUAAUACCUGGCGAGGAUGACGGUACCCAAAGAAUAAGCACCGGCUAACUUCGUGCCAGCAGCCGCGGUAAUACGAAGGGUGCAAGCGUUACUCGGAAUUACUGGGCGUAAAGCGUGCGUAGGUGGUGGUUGAGGUCUGCUGUGAAAGCCCUGGGCUCAACCUGGGAAUUGCAGUGGAUACUGGGUCACUAGAGUGUGGUAGAGGGAUGCGGAAUUUCCGGUGUAGCAGUGAAAUGCGUAGAGAUCGGAAGGAACAUCCGUGGCGAAGGCGGCAUCCUGGGCCAACACUGACACUGAGGCACGAAAGCGUGGGGAGCAAACAGGAUUAGAUACCCGAGUAGUCC
rnacentral:rRNA from 1 species